GUUCUUGCCCAGCUCCCUGGCCACGUCCGGGCGGCCGCUGCGCCGCAGGGCCCGAGCCAGGCGGUCCCAGGACAGGGACGCGGCCUGGGGGGCCAGCCAGGCCGCCAGCGCCUCCCGGCAGCCGUCGGACACCUCUCCAGGCCCGGCUACCCUGCCCGCCGGGUCCUCGGCCGCCUCUCGCCGCCGCCGCCGGCUCGGAGACCCCGACGUGGUGUUGAGCGGCUCAGGCCGCGCCAGCCGGUCUUCAGAAAGCCGGGACAACUCGGCCUCCACGUCGGGCUCGGGCGCCUCCAGGAGCGACCGGAAAUGGCCGCACUCCUCCGGGGUCAGCAGCUCGGCCAGACGGACGGCUGCGUGAGGGCCCAUAGCGUCCACGGCCCCCGCCGGAGCCAGCGCCCAAACCCAGAGCGUGAGGACCAAGGCGCUCGCCAGAGUCCGCGCCGCCAUCCCUGGCGGGAACCAGGGACCGAGGACUGUGCGGGGACGGGGACGUGGACGGGCUCCGCGCCGGUGAUGGGGGAGGGGUUCCGAACGCCCGCGGAUUGUGGGAGGGAGGAGGCUCCGAACAGUCGGGAAGCCUAGUGGAGGAGGGGACUGGGGACAAGGGGGCUGCCAACACCCAGCGACGGAGACGGGGACUCCGACAUGGCACUUGUUGGAGGGUCUC
rnacentral:lncRNA from 1 species